rnacentral:tRNA from 6 species
UUAAGCGUGAGGUCGGUGGUUCAAGUCCACUUAGGCCCA